GCGCGAUGAUUUUCGGUGAUUAUCCGGCGGAGUACAACCCGAAGAUCCACGGACCUUACGAUCCUGUCCGAUACUACGGCAAG
rnacentral:lncRNA from 1 species